rnacentral:rRNA from 1 species
GACGAACGCUGGCGGCGUGCUUAACACAUGCAAGUCGAACGGAAAGGCCCUGCUUUUGUGGGGUGCUCGAGUGGCGAACGGGUGAGUAACACGUGAGUAACCUGCCCUUGACUUUGGGAUAACUUCAGGAAACUGGGGCUAAUACCGGAUAGGAGCUCCUGCUGCAUGGUGGGGGUUGGAAAGUUUCGGCGGUUGGGGAUGGACUCGCGGCUUAUCAGCUUGUUGGUGGGGUAGUGGCUUACCAAGGCUUUGACGGGUAGCCGGCCUGAGAGGGUGACCGGCCACAUUGGGACUGAGAUACGGCCCAGACUCGUACGGGAGGCAGCAGUGGGGAAUAUUGCACAAUGGGCGGAAGCCUGAUGCAGCAACGCCGCGUGCGGGAUGACGGCCUUCGGGGUGUAAACCGCUUUCGCCUGUGACGAAGCGUGAGUGACGGUAAUGGGUAAAGAAGCACCGGCUAACUACGUG